rnacentral:rRNA from 1 species
CAAAUUUUAAAUCACCUAGGUUACCUGGGCGAGUUGUAAUUUGAAGAAAGUGCUUUGAUGCUCUGGUUUUGUCUAAAUCCUUUGGGAUAAGGUAUCAUAGAGGGUGAGAAUCCCGUUCAUGAUUUAAACCCUGGGUGUCACCUAAUUCACUUUCUAAGAGUCGAGUUGUUUGGGAUUGCAGCUCAAAAUGGGUGGUAAAUUUCACCUAAGGCUAAAUAUGUGCAAGAGACCGAUAGCGAACAAGUACCGUGAGGGAAAGAUGAAAAGAACUUUGAAAAGAGAGUUAAAUAGUACGUGAAAUUGUUGAAAGGGAAACGAUUGAAGUCAGUCAUGCUUGCAGGGAAUCAGCAUGGUGGUUUAUUCUUCCUUGUGCACUUUCUUGCUUGGCAGGUUAGCAUCAAUUUCGAUUGUCAUUAAAGAAUUGGGGGAAUGUGGCUUCUUCGGGAGUGUUAUAGACCCUGGUAGAUGUGGCGAUCGGGAUUGAGGAUUGCAGCGAAUGCUUUUUGGCUAGUCACCUGGUUUCUGAUAGUCGCCUUGCUUCCGAUAGCUUGCUAAUGGUGGUGAGACUCGAUUGUCUAGAAGUUAG